GUGCUUGGUUCAGCAGCACACGUACUAAAAUUGAAAUGAUACAGAGAUUAGCCUAGCCCCAGAGCAAGAAUGACACACAAAUUUGUAAAGCAUUUUAUAUUUUU
ensembl:snRNA U6 U6 spliceosomal RNA